AGUAGGAUAACUGGGUCAAAUGGUGGCUCCAUUCCUAGUUUUCCAAGGAAUCUCCAUACUGCUUUCCAGAGUGGUUGCACCAAUUUGCAGUCCCACUAGUAAU
rnacentral:pre_miRNA from 1 species